AGUACAGAGAAGGUCAGAAGGAGCUACAUUGUGUAUUUGUAGAUUUAUGAGAUUUAUGAUUUUUGAGAGGACAUAUAGAUAGUUGGAGUCAGAGUAGAAGAUGCAGAGAACAGGGAGAGAUGGAAAUCAAUGAUUUGCUGUGGCAACCCCUGAAAAAAAAAGGGACAAAGCCAAAAGAAGUACACAGUGUUAUGUUCAUGCAGACUACAAUACGUCAUUAUGACUACACUUUUUGUAAAAUAACAAAUAAAAAAUAAUAUUUAUAUGUUUGCUAUUAAUUACAUUUUUUCAUUUUAUUCAUUGAAAGAAAUAUUUGUUGAUGCAGAUGAAUCAUAUCAUCACAUGCAUCGUUAUUUUAUUGGUUAUUAAUUGCUGGGCUCAGAUCAAAAUUGCUCAGGGAAGAUUAAGCAUGUUACUUUUUAAAAAAUGUAUUUUAUUUAUAUUUGUGUGUUGUGCUUGCAGAAAAUUAAAAUAAGUUGUGUCAAAGAAAUCCAGAGAAAUUUGGUGGAUGCUGACAGCAGCAAACUGACUGUUGACUGUGAACCUCCUGAAAAGUUCCAGCAAACUCAGCUGCACUUUUAGAACAAAACACAAAGUGGUAGCGGAGGCUAAAGUUUCUGUAUGGUCAGUUGCAGCCAGGGGAAAAGAGAAAUUCCAGUUUGGAGAGGAAAAAAGCUACUCUGAUGAAUGAAUAAUCCUGACCAGUAUUUGUAAUUAAUCUCCUAGCAUGCCCUCUCCUGUCAUUCUGUGGAUUGGAACCUCACACAUCAUGAGUUCACGUCUAUGAUGAAAGUAUAAGUCUGUGGCCUCCCAUGUUGGCAAGGUUUCAGCUAGAAAACCAUGAAGAAAAAAACCAUUACACUUCAAAGCCAUAUAAAAAUUGCACCCAAUUAUCCUCCUUUGAUUUACAGAUACUCAGACACUUAAAGGGACACAUUGUGCUGCCUUAGCAUGACCGCCUUACAACAUGCAGCUCCGAGGUGUCUCCGAAACUUAAGCCUGACGCCGGAUGAGUAUGUCAAGAAAUGUCCUACGAUAGUUUCGCUACCUACCCACACCCGGGGGUAGCGGUGCACUGAUCCAAAAAGUGGCGACAGCUGUAAAGGAAACGUGUGCCACUGGGGCCAUGCCAGCCUUUCACUACUACAGCUUCACUUCUCUUUUUACACCCUCAUCACUUCCUCCAUCUCUGAGACAAACACACAGAUUAUCCUUCCCUCAGAGCCAGACCCCAGGGAUGAAAAGGAUGUGAGCACCGAGCCUGGACCUGGACAAAAAGCUGUAAUUCUCCACCUUGUCUCCAGGUCCAAAAUCCAUCUGGCUGGAAAUUUAGUAUCUGUGCUUCAAUAGAGCUCUGUUUACACCAGUAGGUAGGUUUACACAAGCAAAGCAAAGAGUUCAUAUAAAAUGCAUUAACGGGGAAUAAUCCUUUAGGUCUUUGGUAAAUAGGAUGUAAUGACGAAGAAUGUACAAAGAGGGGGGCUAUUUCAAAAAUGGCUGUGGCCCAGUACCAAAACAUCUGAGUCUAUGACUUCCACUCUGUUUAGGUUUUGUUUUAUAAUUGUGAAAACAGCAGGGGUGUAAUAAAGCCAAACCUAAACCUGUACUUUUCUUCAGUCCAUUCAUCUAUAAAGAUAAAAGAUGUUAAGAGCAUCCUCUUUUUGUGAGUAAAAUGAGAGUCAGUUUUAUUAUAUAUAAAGAGAGAAGAGAGGAGAGAACAGGCAAACACAGAAAGACUGGGACCAAACCAACAAACCAGUGAUCUUUUGGCUGCAAGACAGCAACAAAUUAGAAAUUUAUAACUUGCAGUGAAUGAUAAGAAUCAGGGUUCUUAAGUUGUGAAAUCAUUAUUUUAGCCUAAGAAACUUAGAUGUAAAUAGUUAAUUUGUGAUCAAAACUCUCAAAAUGUAUAGCUCAUUCUAGCGAAGUUCAAUUUGCUUAUUGUCCUGAAUUAUAGCCAGUCUCAUGAGAUCACACAUGGCCCACAUUUAGAAAAACAACAUGGAGGGAAGGUGAAUGACAUCAUCCUGUGUCGCUCAAACAACAGCCAGUGACAGCAGCCCUCUGAGCAGAUUUAGCCCUGGGUCUGAAACAGUGGGAGUGAUUUACUACCGUGUCUGUCAGAAGUCACACAUGCCGUAGCUUAUGUGAGAGGACGCAGUGCAUCUUCCUCGCACACUAGCUCUUUUAAUUACAGCCACUCAGCACAUUCAAGCCACUGUUUUUCUACUCAGUUGUGUGACCCGGGGUCAUCCUCCGAGCAAGAACUUCAAAUUAAUUGUCUGUCAGUGAACACAAAUGGGAUCCACACACUUGUGUUUAUGAAAGCAGCUGUUUUUUUGGAGGCUCAGACACGUGUGUGUGUGAGCGUGCAUGUUUGUUUGCUGCCAGACUCUCGCUGUGAGCUCAGCAUGAAUGAGUGAGAGAGCCAUAAACACCUGAGGAAACAGGAACACACAGACACUCUCCCCCUCUCUCUCUCUCUGAAAUGCAUUUAUGGUCCUGAUUGAAGCAGGGUAAAAGCACAUUGUCACGAACAACUAAGCUCUGGCCAUGGCGAGAAUCCAACCACAACACCAGGGCAGUUAAGACGACCCUGGAUGAGUCCCAGGGGGCAUUGAAGGGGACCGAAUGCAGACCUGGGUUUAGAGGUUUAGGGGUAUGUCCUGUUGUUAACUUGCUAGGCUUCUUGACUUUAAACUCCCAACCCUGACUCACCAGUGCUCACCAGACUCUUUAACUCUGAAGUCAAGAGAUAAGGUGCAUCGUAAGAAAACAUCCAUCUCCGGGUUAGCUAGCAGCUCGUAAAAAUGGAAGUGUGGUAGCAUGGAGAGAAGGUCUGUCAGGAAAUGUCUCUGCAGACUCUACAUGGAAGAGUCCAUCAGUCCAGACAGAUGACAGUAAUGACUUCUGUCCUAAAUGAUGCACAUCUUACAUGCUUGAUAAGUUUGAAGUAAUCCGCAAUGUACAGAGUUGUGUGUUAAACACAACGCUUUCGCCAUUUGACACAUGGAAAAAGAGAGAGGUGAGUUUAGUUCUCUAACGUGAGGAACUCAAUUUGCUUUGCAAACUUGAAAUUUGUAGUUGGUCUGAAGUUGAACACUUGGCAAUGUUUAUAAAAUACUAGAGAGGAAAAGACCAUUAUCACCAUAACUGUUUUUUAUUAGUUCCUAUUUCCAAGGCACUGCUAAAACAAUCCCGAUGGAUCAAUCAUCAGAAGGCCAAAGACAAUGUUGACUUGUCCGCACAAAUCUAAUCCAAAACCCCAAUCCCAAUCCCAUUAAUAAGCAUAUAAAUCUAAGGCCAUGACAAAAUGGGUGAAGAAACCCCAAGUUAAAUUAUAAUUCCUAAAUGACUACAUUCUGUUAAUUCUAAAAUAACUUUUUUUCAGGUUCUAUUAAAAACAAAAACGAUGAAGUCGUAAACCAGAUUCUUAAAGUUUAGAAUCCAGUUUUCUACACUGUAUAACAACUGUAGUUAGAGCUGAGUGCAGAACUCACUGGAGUCUGCAUGCUGCUCAAUGAUGGAUGAAGCGUGAACUCUGACAAAAACAGUUGGCACACAAUAUUGUUGCGAACUCAGUUCUGGAUUUCCUCCAGUCAGUCUGAAUUACAACUCCAGUCUUUUUCAUGUUUGGCAAGUGCAUGCACUGUCCUGCCUGAAGACAGAAGUGAAACAAACAAAAGGUAGAUAGACUGGAAGGAUUUUUCACCAACCACUCCUUAUGUUUAGGACUAGUACAGCUCACAGUGAAAUCCCACUUUGCCAGCUGUGUUUGGCUGCGGCUUUACAUAUCAAUUCAUCUCUAGAGGCUAAGCUCUAUUAUCCUGCACUCUUUUCUCUUUCAUUUAGUCAAGUGAGGUCAUUCUCCUUUGGUCAAGGAGCUUGGCUCCUGCAGGAGAACGGCUGCUCCUCUGUCAGGUCUGAACUCUGAAAGCCAACUAGGCAUGUCUCUAAUUAGACCGACUUCUGGUGCACUUCAUCCAAUCUCGCUCUCUACUCUCCUCUCCAGUCCAGAACUAAUCACAACCAUCAGCACCACUCCCUUCAUCCCUGUUGAGCAUGGUAUCAACCACAUGAGCAAAUGGAAAUGUAUGCACAAGACCUUCUCAUAGUGGAGUUUAAAAGCCAGACAGAAGAGAUUUAUCUGAAAUUCUUAUUCAAAAGUCCUGUGUCCAACAGAGAUGUGCGGCUGGAGGGGGACUGUAGGGAGGCAGUGUGUUUGGGAGGUCUAUGACAUGCAAAGCCAUAAAUGAUGUCACCACAACACACCACAGCAACAUCUCUAUGAUGUGGUGGUCUGUUUCUGGUUCUGUGUACAUGAGGGCGGAGGAAGGACUUGGAGUUUGGCAUCAUCAAAUCCCCACCCACAGAGCCACAACACUGGAGCUCUCUUGUCAGCACAGUGUUUAUGAACCAACAACCGAGACAAAUGAGCAGCGAGAUGAUCAGAACUACUGGGAGUGAACUAGAGCCAUGGGCUGAUACGGAACAUCUAGUUUAAAACAUAUUUUGUUGUUCUCUUCUCAUGUGAUUUUAGUGGCUCUUAAUGUUCUUAUAUGGAUAUAAAUGGGAACGAGAGACUAAUGAAAAAAGAGACAUGUCACACUGCACACGUCAAUAAAUUAAAUACAUGCAGUAAAAAUGUUUCAUAAACUACAUUGUAAAUAGACCAAAAUGA